rnacentral:rRNA from 1 species
AGAGUUUGAUCCUGGCUCAGAGUGAACGCUGGCGGUAGGCCUAACACAUGCAAGUCGAACGGCAGCACAGUAAGAGCUUGCUCUUACGGGUGGCGAGUGGCGGACGGGUGAGGAAUACAUCGGAAUCUACUUUUUCGUGGGGGAUAACGUAGGGAAACUUACGCUAAUACCGCAUACGACCUACGGGUGAAAGCAGGGGAUCUUCGGACCUUGCGCGAUUGAAUGAGCCGAUGUCGGAUUAGCUAGUUGGCGGGGUAAAGGCCCACCAAGGCGACGAUCCGUAGCUGGUCUGAGAGGAUGAUCAGCCACACUGGAACUGAGACACGGUCCAGACUCCUACGGGAGGCAGCAGUGGGGAAUAUUGGACAAUGGGCGCAAGCCUGAUCCAGCCAUACCGCGUGGGUGAAGAAGGCCUUCGGGUUGUAAAGCCCUUUUGUUGGGAAAGAAAUCCAGCUGGUUAAUACCCGGUUGGGAUGACGGUACCCAAAGAAUAAGCACCGGCUAACUUCGUGCCAGCAGCCGCGGUAAUACGAAGGGUGCAAGCGUUACUCGGAAUUACUGGGCGUAAAGCGUGCGUAGGUGGUUGUUUAAGUCUGUUGUGAAAGCCCUGGGCUCAACCUGGGAACUGCAGUGGAACUGGACGACUAGAGUGUGGUAGAGGGUAGCGGAAUUCCUGGUGUAGCAGUGAAAUGCGUAGAGAUCAGGAGGAACAUCCAUGGCGAAGGCAGCUACCUGGACCAACACUGACACUGAGGCACGAAAGCGUGGGGAGCAAACA